GAUGAACGCUGGCGGCGUGCCUAAUACAUGCAAGUCGAGCGAAUGGAUUAAGAGCUUGCUCUUAUGAAGUUAGCGGCGGACGGGUGAGUAACACGUGGGUAACCUGCCCAUAAGGCUGGGAUAACUCCGGGAAACCGGGGCUAAUACCGGAUAACAUUUUGAACCGCAUGGUUCGAAAUUGAAAGGCGGCUGCGGCUGUCACUUAUGGAUGGACCCGCGUCGCAUUAGCUAGUUGGUGAGGUAACGGCUCACCAAGGCAACGAUGCGUAGCCGACCUGAGAGGGUGAUCGGCCACACUGGGACUGAGACACGGCCCAGACUCCUACGGGAGGCAGCAGUAGGGAAUCUUCCGCAAUGGACGAAAGUCUGACGGAGCAACGCCGCGUGAGUGAUGAAGGCUUUCGGGUCGUAAAACUCUGUUGUUAGGGAAGAACAAGUGCUAGUUGAAUAAGCUGGCACCUUGACGGUACCUAACCAGAAAGCCACGGCUAACUACGUGCCAGCAGCCGCCGUAA
rnacentral:rRNA from 1 species